rnacentral:tRNA from 1 species
AUAGAUAUAGCUCAGUGGUAGGGCACUUGCCUAUGAUGCACAAGGCCCUAGGUUCAAUAUCCAGCAUUGAAA